rnacentral:rRNA from 1 species
UGGGGAAUAUUGGACAAUGGGCGAAAGCCUGAUCCAGCCAUGCCGCGUGUGUGAAGAAGGUCUUCGGAUUGUAAAGCACUUUAAGUUGGGAGGAAGGGCAUUAACCUAAUACGUUAGUGUUUUGACGUUACCGACAGAAUAAGCACCGGCUAACUCUGUGCCAGCAGCCGCGGUAAUAAAGAGGGUGAAAGCGUUAAUCGGAAUUACUGGGCGUAAAGCGCGCGUAGGUGGUUUGUUAAGUUGGAUGUGAAAUCCCCGGGCUCAACCUGGGAACUGCAUUCAAAACUGACUGACUAGAGUAUGGUAGAGGGUGGUGGAAUUUCCUGUGUAGCGGUGAAAUGCGUAGAUAUAGGAAGGAACACCAGUGGCGAAGGCGACCACCUGGACUAAUACUGACACUGAGGUGCGAAAGCGUGGGGAGCAAACA